GUCAGCAGUGCUUUAAAUCAAAUAGAUAUCACACAUAUACCAAGAGAAAUGGUGCAGCCAGAGAGAGAGAGAUCGCAGCAACAUUAAAAGGACCAGAGAGCAACAGUGCUCUUAAACCAAACAAGUACCUCACGGUUAAAUCUAGAGAGAGAGAGGUCUGAAGUCCAGAUCGUUGGCCUCGUCAAAGUACUGUUGAACGUGGGUCAGGACGUGGCUCGGAGUACUGUUGAACGUGGGUCGGAGUACCUCACUGUUGAACGUGGGUCGAAGUAUCUCACGGCUAAGUACUGUUGAACGUGGGUCGGAGAGGAUGACUGGGUUCGAAAUCGGAAUUAGCACGGAGGUUAGGGUCUGUCUGAAUCGGAGAGGAUGACUGGGUUUUGUCGAAUCGGAAUCGGAAUCGGCGGCUCCGGCUCAGGUUAGGGUUUAUGGCUCUGAUACCAUGAUAGUUUGG
rnacentral:lncRNA from 1 species